GACGAACGCUGGCGGCGUGCUUAACACAUGCAAGUCGAACGGAAAGGCCCUGCUUGCAGGGUACUCGAGUGGCGAACGGGUGAGUAACACGUGGGUGAUCUGCCCUGCACUUCGGGAUAAGCCUGGGAAACUGGGUCUAAUACCGGAUAGGAGCCAUUUUUAGUGUGAUGGUUGGAAAGUUUUUUCGGUGUAGGAUGAGCUCGCGGCCUAUCAGCUUGUUGGUGGGGUAAUGGCCUACCAAGGCGGCGACGGGUAGCCGGCCUGAGAGGGUGGACGGCCACAUUGGGACUGAGAUACGGCCCAGGCUCCUACGGGAGGCAGCAGUGGGGAAUAUUGCACAAUGGGCGCAAGCCUGAUGCAGCGACGCCGCGGGGGGGAUGACGGCCUUCGGGUUGUAAACUCCUUUCGCUAGGGACGAAGCUUUUUGUGACGGUACCUAGAUAAGAAGCACCGGCUAACUACGUG
rnacentral:rRNA from 1 species